GGGUACGGGUUGUGAGAGCAAGAGCCCGGAGAUGGAUUCUGAGACAUGAAUCCAGGCCCUACGGGGCGCAGCAGGCGCGAAAACUUUACAAUGCGGGAAACCGUGAUAAGGGGACACCGAGUGCCAGCAUCCUAUGCUGGCUGUCCAGGUGUGUAAAAUACACCUGUUAGCAAGGGCCGGGCAAGACCGGUGCCAGCCGCCGCGGUAACACCGGCGGCCCGAGUGGUGAUCGUGAUUAUUGGGUCUAAAGGGUCCGUAGCCGGUUUGGUCAGUCCUCCGGGAAAUCUGACAGCUUAACUGUUAGGCUUUCGGAGGAUACUGCCAGACUUGGAACCGGGAGAGGUAAGAGGUACUACAGGGGUAGGAGUGAAAUCUUGUAAUCCCUGUGGGACCACCUGUGGCGAAGGCGUCUUACCAGAACGGGUUCGACGGUGAGGGACGAAAGCUGGGGGCACGGACCGGAUUAGAUACCCGGGUAGUCCCAGCCGUAAACGAUGCUCGCUAGGUGUCAGGCAUGGCGCGACCGUGUCUGGUGCCGCAGGGAAGCCGUGAAGCGAGCCACCUGGGAAGUACGGCCGCAAGGCUGAAACUUAAAGGAAUUGGCGGGGGAGCAC
rnacentral:rRNA from 1 species